CCAAUAGCAUAUAUUAAAGUUGUUGUAGUUAAAAAGCUCGUAGUUGAAUUUCGGGGUUAGUAAGUUGGUUGUGCCACUGGUAUGUACUGGCUUUACUGAUUCCUCCUUCUUGUAGAACCGUAAUGCCAUUAAGUUGGUGUUGCGGGGAAACAGGACUGUUACUUUGAAAAAAUUAGAGUGUUUAAAGCAAGCUAACGCUUGAAUACAUUAGCAUGGAAUAAUGAAAUAGGACGUUCGAUCCUAUUUUGUUGGUUUCUAGGAUUGACGUAAUGAUUAAUAGGGAUAGUUGGGGGAAUUAGUAUUCAAUUGUCAGAGGUGAAAUUCUUGGAUUUAUUGAAGACUAACUACUGCGAAAGCAUUUGCCAAGGAUGUUUUCAUUAAUCAAGAACGAAAGUUAGGGGAUCGAAGACGAUCAGAUACCGUCGUAGUCUUAACCAUAAACUAUGCCGACUAGGGAUCGGAUGAUGUUAAUUUUAUAAUGACUCAUUCGGCGCCUUACG
rnacentral:misc_RNA from 1 species